UACACUCCUGCGGGAGGCAGCAGUGAGGAAUAUUGGACAAUGGGUGGAAGCCUGAUCCAGCCAUCCCGCGUGCAGGAAGACGGCCCUAUGGGUUGUAAACUGCUUUUAUCUGGGGAUAAACCUACUUACGUGUAAGUAGCUGAAGGUACCAGAAGAAUAAGCACCGGCUAACUCCGUGCCAGCAGCCGCGGUAAUACGGAGGGUGCAAGCGUUAUCCGGAUUUAUUGGGUUUAAAGGGUCCGUAGGCGGACUGAUAAGUCAGUGGUGAAAUCCGACAGCUUAACUGUCGAACUGCCAUUGAUACUGUUAGUCUUGAGUAAGGUUGAAGUGGCUGGAAUAAGUAGUGUAGCGGUGAAAUGCAUAGAUAUUACUUAGAACACCAAUUGCGAAGGCAGGUCACUAAGUCUUAACUGACGCUGAUGGACGAAAGCGUGGGGAGCGAACAGGAUUAGAAACCCGUGUAGUCCCA
rnacentral:rRNA from 1 species